ensembl:lncRNA
ACCUGAGCACAGGGGCAGAGGGGCAGAAUCCCCCCUCCCCUGCUGCCCACGCUGGGGGCUCAGCCCAGCACAGGGGGGUUCCUGGGCUCAGUGCCCGUGGCCGGGGCAGGUUGAGCCUCUCAGCCACCAACAGCCCAAGUCCUUCUCCCCAGGGCUGCUCUCCAUGAGUUCAUCUCCCAGUCUGUGCUCAGGGCUGGGAUUGCCCAGGUGCAGGUGCAGGACCUUGGACAUGUUGAACUCACUUCUCCAGCUUGGGAAGGAUCUCCUGGGAAGCCUGUCCAGCCCCCCCAGCUCCAGGAUGGCUCCAGCACCUCCCCUCCACAACUCUUCUGCAGGCAGAGCAGUCCCAGACUCAGAAAUGUGCAUCUAGUCAACACUCUUUUAUUAAAAACAAUUACAAAAGUUACAGGUUACAAUCGUUCUGUACAACCCAACCAAAGCUCAGGUGCCUGGGGAGGCGAUGGCAGCCCCGGGCCAGGACUGGCUGUGACCACACCCAUGGCGUGGCUGGAUAUGGUUCCACCUUCCCAGGGACAUCCCUUGACACAGGAAACACACCCCCACCCCAAAAGCCUCAGCUUAGGCUGGAGCCUGGGGAAAGGAAGGGGAAAUGAUGCCAGGGGAUUCCUGCCUGGAGGAACCAUCUGCCUGCCCCAGUCCCAGGAGAUGGGAUCGAGCCAAGCAGCUCCACAAGCAGGACACCAGCACAUCGUGUCCAUGUUGGAAUGUCCUGGCUCUGACAGGGAGGGAGCUGCUGUGGGAAGCAGGGGCUGCCUGUCAGGAACAGGCAGGAGGCAAGAGCCAGAUCUGAGACCUGACGUGGCUGCUCCAGGGACAUUCCAUCGCUGCAGCCAGGGGUGAAGAUAAAUGGGGGAUAAACAUGGGAAAGAGGCAGAAGCAGAACAAACCCUCCCUCCCCAGCUGGGAAGCACUGAACUCUGUCUCUCCCACAGUCUGGGCAGGAACAGCACUGUUCCCUGCAGGCCAAGAUGGGCUCAGCAGUAACAGGAGUCUUUACAGCCCCAUUUCUCCUGGGGGCUCCCACAGAGCCUGGCAGAGAAGCUGCCUCCCUGCCUCUGAGGGCAGCAGUGGCAUGGGGAGAGUUCACCAGGCCCAGAGUGGGGCUGGAGCAGGACAUCCCUGCCCUGGAACACAGCCCAGCCCACACUCCUGCCCACAGGCUGGGACAGCUCAGCAGGACAUGCAGGGGACACACAGCUGUCCCCAAACCCUGAGCCCAGCAGGGCUACAAGGGAGUGAGCAGGAAACAAACCCCAGCAGCUCCUGUGCCCCACUGCCCCCAGACUGACACAGCCAGCCCAUGCCAGGGACACAGCAGCCACCAAGGGACACAAUUCCAGUGCUGCCAGGGAGGGCGAGGUGUCACUGCUCUGGGAACGGGGUGAAGGUGCUCCCUGACCCCAGCUGAGACACCCCAGCCAUGGGGAUUGUCCCCUCAGCUCUGCUGUCCCCAGGCAGCAGCAGGGUCUGGGCACAGGGGCCCACCAGGACCAGUCACCCCAGUGACAGUCACACCCAGCAGCUGCUUUUGUCCAGGUGCCAGACACACAGCUGCCUCCUUCGCUCUCUACACAAUUCCCAGCAUCUAAACAAGCAGAAAUGAAGGAUUUCUCCCUAUUGCUUUUGCCUGUACCAAGUCCCAGCACCAGGGGCAGGCUGGUGGGGAGUCCUGCCUGACCUGCACACCCCAAAACACCUUGUUCCCUAAACACAAGCUGACUGGGCCCUGCUGGAAGCUGAGGGUCAGGGAAGGAC